rnacentral:ncRNA from 1 species
UCCGUUCACGAGCAAACCUUGAGUAAUCGAGGGACGCAAAGCCACGGAUCCUUCAGGUAAGGACCGCCGGGUUGCCGAA